UACGAAGGGGGGCUAGCGUUGCUCGGAAUUACUGGGCGUAAAGCGCGUGUAGGCUGCUCGAACAGUCGGGUGUGAAAGCCCUGGGCUCAACCCAGGAAGUGCAUUCGAUACUGCCGAGCUUGAGCCUGGAGAGGAAGGCGGAAUUCUCGGUGUAGAGGUGAAAUUCGUAGAUAUCGAGAGGAACACCGGUGGCGAAGGCGGCCUUCUGGACAGUGACUGACGCUGAGGAGCGAAAGCAUGGGGGAGCGAACAGG
rnacentral:rRNA from 1 species